rnacentral:misc_RNA from 1 species
UGUUUAAUCGGGACAAUUCUCAUUUGCAUGCAGAUAUUCUCUGAUUUGAAGGCUCAGAUUUUAGCUUCACAGGUAAGUGUGUUUCUGCUGGCAUUUUUAUUGCAAAAAUGCUAUCUGUAACUGAACAGUGGAGUCCAGUUAAUGCCUGUAUGUUGGAGUUCAUUAUGUGAUAUGUUGGUCUAGUAGAGGAUAAUUCAGAAUGAUUCAUUAGUUUGUUUUAAUUAUGAAUCUGCUAAAGUUUUAUGCUGAGUAGCUUAGGUCUGUUGGGUUGAAUUGAAUGUGAAUGUAAACAAUAUUGAAGCAUUGGGGCCAAAAUAAUUAUCAGAGGUUAUGCAUUUAGGAAUAAAUAGAAAGUUGCAUUUGAUGAGUUAGUGAACUUGGAUUCCUAAAAUUUUAUGGUUCUUUGUGUGUGUUUAGCUGUUUUCACAAUGUUAUUCUCCUAGUGACACUCUUCUUCAUAUUGCAGCCCGUUGAUCAACAUCAGCGGCUUUCCCUU